UAUGAGCUCUUCGGAUUGGCCCCGUACUGCCCGCUUCGCGGCGGGCUACCGGCGGCCGAGAAGAUGCGCAAAUUGACUGGGGUAGAGGUCGUAAAAGUCGUAACAAGGUAUCCGUAGGUGAACCUGCGGAUGGAUCAUUACC
rnacentral:rRNA from 1 species